ACGGGGUGCAGCAGGCGCGAAAAUUUCGCAAUGCACGUAAGUGUGACGGAGGAAUUUGGAGUGCUUUCUCCUUUGGAGGGGGCUUUUACUAAGUCUAGACAUCUUAGAGAAUAAGUGGUGGGUAAGACGGGUGCCAGCCGCCGCGGUAAUACCCGCGCCACAAGUGGUGAUCACGUUUAUUGGGUUUAGAACGUUCGUAGCCGGCUCUAUAAGUUUCUGAUGAAAUCCUAUAGUCAACUGUAGGGCUUGUCAGGGAUACUGUAGAGCUUGGGACCGGGAGAGGCCAAGGGUAUUCCUGGGGUAGGUGUCAAAUCCUAUAAUCCCAGGAGGACCACCUGUGGCGAAGGCGCUUGGCUAGAACGGAUCCGACGGUGAGGGACGAAAGCUAGGGGAGCGAAGCGGAUUAGAUACCCGCGUAGUCCUAGCCGUAAACGAUGCCCACUAGACAUUGGCAACCUCAAGCGGGUUGUCAGAGUCGUAGGGAAACCGUUAAGUGGGCCACCUGGGGAGUACGGUCGCAAGACUGAAACUUAAGGGAAUUGGCGGGGGAGCACACAAGGGGUGGAGGCUGCGGUUCAAUUGGAUUCAACGCCAGGAACCUUACCAGAGGCGACAGCAGGAUGAAGGUCAGGUUAAAGGUCUUACCAGACAAGCUGAGAAGUGGUGCAUGGCCGUCGUCAGUUCGUGUCGUGAGAUGUCGACUUA
rnacentral:rRNA from 1 species